UGGUGGUCUUUUGAAUGCAACUUUUGGAAAUGCAACCGAAAUGAUUAUUUCAAUAUAUGCGUUAAAGAGUGGGAUGAUUAGGGUUGUUCAACAGUCAUUACUGGGGUCAAUCUUGUCAAAUAUGCUUCUUGUGCUUGGUUGCGCUUUCUUCACUGGUGGGAUUGUUCAUCAUAAGAAGGUGCAGGUUUUCAAUAAGGGUGCUGCUGUUGUGAAUUCGGGAUUGUUGUUGAUGGCUGUUAUGGGAACAACUUUCCCGGCGGUGCUUCAUUUCACCCACACAGAACUUCAUUCCGGAGAGUCAGCAUUAUCUCUUUCAAGAUUUAGCAGUUGUAUAAUGUUAGUUGCAUAUGCAAGCUACCUUUUCUUUCAACUAAAAAGUCAGCAUAAUCUCUAUGGUCCCCUUGAUGAGGAAGUUGGUGAUGAAGUUGAGGAUGAUUCUGAGAUUUAUGCUUGGG
rnacentral:misc_RNA from 1 species